GCCACUAUGGCUCAGUGGUAGAGCAUCAGGUUUUUAAACUGCAGGUCUGUAGUUCGAUCCUGCAUGUGGGCG
rnacentral:tRNA from 1 species